UACGGGGGGGGCAAGCGUUGUUCGGAAUUACUGGGCGUAAAGGGCGCGUAGGCGGUUGGAUAAGUCAGCUGUGAAAACCACGGGCUUAACUCGUGGCCUGCAGUUGAGACUGUCUGGCUUGAGUGUGGGAGAGGAGAGUGGAAUUCCUGGUGUAGCGGUGAAAUGCGCAGAUAUCAGGAAGAACACCAAUGGCGAAGGCAGCUCUCUGGGACGGUACUGACACUGAGACGCGAAAGCGUGGGGAGCGAACAGG
rnacentral:rRNA from 1 species